rnacentral:rRNA from 1 species
UACGAAGGUCCCAAGCGUUGUUCGGAAUCACUGGGCGUAAAGGGAGCGUAGGCGGCGUGGUAAGUCAGAUGUGAAAUCCCGGGGCUCAACCCCGGAACUGCAUCCGAUACUGCCAUGCUAGAGGAUUGGAGAGGUAGCUGGAAUUCUUGGUGUAGCAGUGAAAUGCGUAGAGAUCAAGAGGAACACUCGUGGCGAAAGCGAGCUACUGGACAAUUCCUGACGCUGAGGCUCGAAGGCUAGGGGAGCGAAAGGG